AACUCUUCAACACAGAAUACAGGACAGACCAUGAUGAUAUGUCUUCAGCAAGGUCCUCAAGUCCAACAAGUGCGGUGUAAGAUGUCGGGGAUGUCUGAAACAUGGACAGGCAUUGAGAAAGAAAACACAAUCACAGUUUCAGUCACCAGAAGAGCCAAUCAUUAACAACAACGGAGAAGCACAUCUAACACAAAGCUCUUGCAUAGAAAUUACCUUCUGAAGGUGAUAGCCAAUCAAAGGGAGAACACAGAGACGUCAUCACCAACUGCCGGCCCCAGCCAGAUGCAACUGGACCCUUGCUAUGGAAACUUGCAGUGGAAGCAGUGACCACAGUCUGGAACACACGGCUUCCGCUGGAAUGCACAUUUAUUACCUGGAUUUUGUGCAAAAGGGGUUCCAACAGGCCGGCAAAGCAGUCAACCUCUGUCUUUUGAUUCCAGACCGCUGUAAAAUCCCUAAGAGGGAAAAUCAUCAAUCACUCGUGCCAGACUGAAGAAACACAUCCCGAGAAUGAUGAAAAUGAAAGCAAGGAGGAAAUAUUGUACUUCAUAUGGGAACUGACUCACUGACCCGACUACAUAAAAACUUCCGUAUUAUCCUACUUGUCUGUUACAUCUAAUUAGUUACCUAUUUGCGGUAUUUCAUUUUUUGCUAAUCUAGUCAUUAAUAACCCUGCGCGGCUACUGAAUCUGCAUAUAAAGUAAACAGCUUGAAUAACCAUAAACGCUAUUAGAAUAAUUUACAA